CCAUCUCUCUGCUGGUACCAGACCAGACUGUUUGAAUUAUAAACCGUCUCACUGGUUCUACAGGAGAUGGUGACGGAGCCUCCCACAGCGGAUCUCACGGCUCCAGGCUGGGUCACUGUGACUUGUCCCCUGGACUCUGAGGACACAGAGACAGAAACAAGCAGCAGUGCGGGGGGUUGGUCAGCUUCAGGUCAGAGGCAGCGAGUCCACGGAGCAGUUUGAUGGAUCUGGACUUUACCUGAGAAGCAGCAGCAGAGCAGCGUCCAGACGAGGACGGAGGUGAAGCUCAUGGUUCUGAUGAGCAGGAGGUCUGAGGUCAUGAGGACGAGUCGUCCCGUCCUCACCUCCCGGGACUUUAACCUGUCCCAGAGCAGUGGAGCGUGGAGCUGAGGAUGCAAAGCGACUCUAUGGAAAUUAUCUGAUGAGGCUGUUCAUCAAUAAAUCAAUUAUUAAUCAGAGGACUGAUCAGGAGGUGUUAACAUUCUCAUCAUGCAGUUUGGAUUUGAUGUUUCAGGACGACUUCUCCUAUUUGAAUAUCUCACAAGCAGGAGUUCUGGUGCGAUUGUUUGUUUCACAGUGGAGAGUUGUGUCCUCAGAGGUUUUUGUACGACGGCUCAGUGAGUGUGUGUCACUGUGGUACACGUGUGGUGGAGGAACCAGACUGGACGUUGGAAGUGACGCCCGGCCCACCCUGACGGUGCUGCCCCCCCCCAGCGAGGAGCUGCAGCAGGGGACGGCCUCCCUCACGUGCCUGGCCAACCGGGGCUUCCCCUCGGACUGGCGUCUGUCCUGGAAGGUGGACGGCAGCAGCAGCAGCUGGGAGGAGAGCAGCGGCCCGGGGGUGGUGCAGAGCGACGGGAGCUACAGCUGGAGCAGCAGCCUGAGGCUCCCUGCUGAGCGCUGGAGGAAGGCCGGCUCCGUGACCUGCGAGGCGUCCCAGGGGUCCCAGUCCCCGCUGUCAGAGACCCUGAGGACAGACCAGUGUGCCCAGUCCUGACCUGGGACUCUGCUGCUGGUCUCAGUCUGGAUCUGAAUCCACUGGUGACUUCUUGCUUUGACUGUUCUGGUUCUUUGACCUGUUUCAGAUA